rnacentral:rRNA from 1 species
GAUGAACGCUAGCUACAGGCUUAACACAUGCAAGUCGAGGGGUCUCAAUGGAGCUUGCUCUUGAGAGACGACCGGCGCACGGGUGAGUAACGCGUAUCCAACCUGCCCUUCAUAUUGGGAUAGCCUUCCGAAAGGGAGAUUAAUACCGAAUAACAUGAGAAGAUUGCAUGAACCUCUCAUGAAAGCUCCGACGAUGAAGGAUGGGGAUGCGUUCCAUUAGGUAGUAGGCGGGGUAACGGCCCACCUAGCCGACGAUGGAUAGGGGUUCUGAGAGGAACGUCCCCCACACUGGAACUGAGACACGGUCCAGACUCCUACGGGAGGCAGCAGUGAGGAAUAUUGGUCAAUGGGCGCAAGCCUGAACCAGCCAAGUAGCGUGAAGGAUGACUGCCCUAUGGGUUGUAAACUUCUUUUAUACGGGAACAAACCUUGGUACGCGUACCAAAUUGCGUGUACUGUAUGAAUAAGCAUCGGCUAACUCCGUGCCAGCAGCCGCAGUAAUAC